rnacentral:rRNA from 1 species
GGAGUCCUACGGGGGGCAGCAGUGGGGAAUAUUGCACAAUGGGGGAAACCCUGAUGCAGCGACGCCGCGUGAGUGAAGAAGUAUUUCGGUAUGUAAAGCUCUAUCAGCAGGGAAGAUAAUGACGGUACCUGACUAAGAAGCCCCGGCUAACUACGUGCCAGCAGCCGCGGUAAUACGUAGGGGGCAAGCGUUAUCCGGAUUUACUGGGUGUAAAGGGAGCGUAGACGGUGAGACAAGUCUGAAGUGAAAGCCCGGGGCUCA